GGGGAAUAUUGGGCAAUGGGCGAAAGCCUGACCCAGCGACGCCGCGUGGGCGAUGAAGGCCUUCGGGUUGUAAAGCCCUGUCAUGCGGAAAGAACGAUCCUGUGACGCAUACUCACAGGGAGUGACGGUACCGCAGGAGGAAGCACCGGAUAACUCCGUGCCAGCAGCCGCGGUAAUACGGAGGGUGCAAGCGUUGUUCGGAAUUAUUGGGCGUAAAGGGCGCGUAGGCGGUAAUGUAAGUCAGAUGUGAAAUACUCCGGCUCAACCAGAGAACAGCAUCUGAAACUGCAUAACUAGAGUACAGAAGAGGGAAACGGAAUUCCCGGUGUAGAGGUGAAAUUCGUAGAUAUCGGGAGGAACACCAGUGGCGAAGGCGGUUUCCUGGUCUGAUACUGACGCUGAGGCGCGAAAGCGUGGGGAGCAAACAG
rnacentral:rRNA from 1 species